AACGAACGCUGGCGGCAGGCCUAACACAUGCAAGUCGAACGCUCCGCAAGGGGGAGUGGCGCACGGGUGAGUAACACGUGGGAACCUACCUUCUGGUACGGAACAACCAAGGGAAACUUUGGCUAAGACCCGUAUACGACCUCCGGGUGAAAGAUUGAUCGCCGGAAGAGGGGCCCGCGUCCGAUUAGGUAGUUGGUGAGGUAACGGCUCACCAAGCCUUCGAUCGGUAGCUGGUCUGAGAGGAUGACCAGCCACACUGGGACUGAGACACGGCCCAGACUCCUACGGAGGCAGCAGUGGGGAAUAUUGGACAAUGGGCGCAAGCCUGAUCCAGCCAUGCCGCGUGAAGUGAU
rnacentral:rRNA from 1 species